rnacentral:rRNA from 1 species
UACGAAGGGUGCGAGCGUUAUUCGGAUUUAUUGGGCGUAAAGGGUGCGUAGGCGGAUUAUUAAGUCAACUGUUAAAUCCUUGGGCUUAACCCAAGGGCUGCGGUAGAUACUGGUAGUCUAGAGAAUAGAAGAGAGAAGUGGAAUUCUCGGAGUAGCGGUAAAAUGCGUAGAUCUCGAGAGGAACAUCGAUGGCGAAGGCAGCUUCUUGGUCUAUUUCUGACGCUCAGGAACGAAAGCGUGGGUAGCAAACAGG